rnacentral:siRNA from 1 species
UUUGCCAUUGAAGGCUGGCGAA